CCCUACGGGGGGCAGCAGUGAGGAAUAUUGGUCAAUGGGCGGAAGCCUGAACCAGCCAAGUCGCGUGAGGGAAUAAGGCCCUACGGGUCGUAAACCUCUUUUGCCGGGGAGCAAGGGCCGGGACGCGUCCCGGCCCGGAGAGUACCCGGAGAAAAAGCAUCGGCUAACUCCGUGCCAGCAGCCGCGGUAAUACGGAGGAUGCGAGCGUUAUCCGGAUUUAUUGGGUUUAAAGGGUGCGCAGGCGGACCAUCAAGUCAGCGGUAAAAUCGUGGGGCCCAACCCCAUCCCGCCGUUGAAACUGGCGG
rnacentral:rRNA from 1 species